rnacentral:rRNA from 1 species
AGAGUUUGAUCAUGGCUCAGAUUGAACGCUGGCGGCAUGCUUUACACAUGCAAGUCGAACGGCAGCACGGGGGCAACCCUGGUGGCGAGUGGCGAACGGGUGAGUAAUAUAUCGGAACGUACCCGGAAAUGGGGGGAUAACGUAGCGAAAGUUACGCUAAUACCGCAUAUGCCCUGAGGGGGAAAGCGGGGGAUUCGCAAGAACCUCGCGUUUUCGGAGCGGCCGAUAUCGGAUUAGCUAGUAGGUGAGGUAAAGGCUCACCUAGGCGACGAUCCGUAGCUGGUCUGAGAGGACGACCAGCCACACUGGAACUGAGACACGGUCCAGACUCCUACGGGAGGCAGCAGUGGGGAAUUUUGGAUAAUGGGCGCAAGCCUGAUCCAGCCAUGCCGCGUGAGUGAAGAAGGCCUUCGGGUUGUAAAGCUCUUUCAGCCGGAAAGAAAACGCACGGGUUAAUAACCUGUGUGGAUGACGGUACCGGAAGAAGAAGCACCGGCUAACUACGUGCCAGCAGCCGCGGUAAUACGUAGGGUGCGAGCGUUAAUCGGAAUUACUGGGCGUAAAGCGUGCGCAGGCGGUUUUGUAAGACAGAUGUGAAAUCCCCGGGCUUAACCUGGGAACUGCAUUUGUGACUGCAAGGCUAGAGUACGGCAGAGGGGGGUAGAAUUCCCGUGUAGCAGUGAAAUGCGUAGAUAUGUGGAGGAAUACCGAUGGCGAAGGCAGCCCCCUGGGUCGAUACUGACGCUCAUGCACGAAAGCGUGGGGAGCAAACAGGAUUAGAUACCCUAGUAGUCC